GAUGUGAUUCAUAGUUUUAGAAAACAAAAUACCUUAUUUAAGUUGACAUGAAUUAUAUGUAAUAAACAAUAAGAUAUGCAAUACGGUUAUGUAUAGAUGCAAGAAAAACAUAAUAAUGUCUCUUCACAUGCGUGUUUGUUCACGACGCAUUCUUCACUCCUGCUAUCUUACGCGUGUCUACAGAGAUUCUUCGAUAGUAUUAAAAUCAUAGAUCGCAUACUAUUAGGCAACCCAACCAUUUGUUGUAUAACUUUGUUAAUACAACAUGUUUUGUUACAUAGUCUGGACUCGACUUUACAAUAUUAAAUAUAUUAAAUGAAUUAAUCUAAUUCAUUAACUGAACUAAUUGAUUUCAUUGAAAUGGUAUUUCGAAACCAUUUCUAUUUAUAUUAAAAUAAUUGCUGAAGCAGUAAUUAGAAAAUAUGAUUUUUCUACGUUUCAAUUCUAAGGAUGUCUGGAUUUUUCUAGAUGUAACUCUCCCAAUGUAUUUGAAUAAUUAAUAAUCAUCAAUACAAUACAAUAAGUUUAAUAUCAAAAUCGCAAACUAAAUUAACCAAAUAAAAUGAUUUUUUUAUCUAAACGUUUCCGUUGCCUGAUUUUUUACUGGGGGAAUGAGAAUAUAUAAACUAGGUACUGAAAUUCUCUACUUUUCUUGUGGAAGUUUAUAUUGAUACUUUCAUACUUUUUAUAGUCCUUCAAGUAAGAAUAAACACUAUAGCAACGUUGUCUGUUAUUAGUAUUGCAAAAAACUUUGUUUUGUGUUUGUUCUGGUUGAGACUGUGUAUUACCAGUAAGAAAGAAGUAUUUUUUGUUGAGCAUAUUUAACGAUAAACAGCGGAAGCUAAGUUUAAAGCUAGUGAACAAUUUCAUUGACACUAUCAACGCAAUUAUAUUGCGAAAUUUCAUUGUUCUGGCUGUUUAUUGUGUUAACGAAACGGUAUAUUAAGUGUGGUAAUAAUGAGAAAUAUCUAAUUAAUUUGUUAUUUUGUUUUGUGAGAAAAAUAAUGAAAUUAACAUCUAAAUUAUAGGAAACAAUUUCAUUGUUUCAACUUUCUUAGACCUUUUUAUAUGUUUUUCGUGAGUAAUAUAGUAUAUAGUAUAGUUUGAAUGCAAAAUAUAGUUCUCCCACAUAACUAGUAGUUACAAGGGUUGUAUCUUGUAUCCCCCGCGUAACAAAAUUCAAAGAACCCACAAAAAAUUAUCAGUUGGGAAACCUAGAAAUACUUCUCUUUCCAGAACAACUAGAGGAGUCAUUAGUUGAUAGAAGCUUGAGUCUUUAGGCCUACAUCAUAAAUGAGAACAUAGCGACAACAACGAAGAGUAUUUUCCUAUUUUAAAUGCAACUCUAAUUAAAGAAGGUUUGGACUUUGUGCAGAUUUGGUUAUUUUACUGAAGAAUAUGAUCAUGAUCAAAAUAGAGUUGUGAAAUUCCCACGUGAAUUGAAUUUGUUAAUAUUAUCUCACAAAAAACUUUAUAAUGGAUUAUCACGGUUGAAGAUUAGUUCCAAUAAUUAUCUACUAUCACACAAGUACCAGCAAAUCAAAGAAAUUAAGCCAAGCACUUCUUUCCAUUCAGAACCAAUUGGAUAUCCAACAAUAAUUAGAUAAUUUUAUUAAAAGACUCGCCACAAUAAAAAAGAAAGAAACUAUAUAUGCAGAUGAAUUGUAUCCAAAGAAUCUCAAACAUCAUACUUAAUAAUUGAUUUAGUUUUCAAAGCUGCUGAAUUAUCAAACAUGGUAAAUACAAAUGAACAAAUCAUUAAAAGGAUGGACAAAAUAAUUCUAGUGAUAACAAUAAUAUUAAUUAUUUAAAUAAAUUUUUUCAUAUGAGCUUUACUUUUUUAAAACAUUCAUUGCCGACACCGGCACCAAAUUGAAAAAAUCACUUUGAUACGCCGAAAACUCACUGAAACAUUAUCAUUUAUAACAGAGCGUUCGAUUUGAAGCAAGUUUCUCCGUUUUUGGCGCAUCGCGCCGCCGCCGUCGCUGGCCUCUCGGAAACGCGGACGUAGUGCGCCUAUUCAAUUUGCUCGUAUGAAGCUAAUAAGUAUCGAUUUAAAUACUGCUUUAUAAUAACCUAUCGUUAUAAAAUGCAAUUUUCUCAAUCACAUUAUUCCUUCACUUUUAUAAGACAACUUUGUUAUUUCAAUGAAAAAGAAUAUCACGUUCUUGAUUUUGGAAAAAAAAUAUAUGUCUAGCCGUCUGCCUAUUGUUCUCUGUCUGCACAUGCGCAUCCUUUUCGAAACGUGCUGCAAAUACGGUAUGGGAAUGUACGUUUAACUUCGACCCACGCAGACGUGUACGGUUACCACAGUGUUUGUAAAAAAAACGUUACCACUUUGAAAAAAUCUCAGAUAGAAAACAGUGAAAAGUUGAAGCCGUUUCGCCGAAGAAGCCAAGCCAGUUCCCGCUCGACUUCUCGCUCAAACUCUCCCUUGGUGGAUGAUAGUCAACAUAAAGCAGUACCCAGUAAUUCUACUGCCUCAACAACUAACAGGGAUCAACACGCACUUGAACAUGAUGUUGAAGUAGACGACGAUGAAUCAGAAAAAAGACCAAAUCACGGAAAGUGAAAAUGAUAACACAGUACCACAACAUAACGAUUUGAUUGAUGAAGAUAUAAAUAAUGUAUUCGAUGCAGAAAGUGAUACGGAUGAUAGCGAAGAUGAUGUGGAGAGCGAGAUCGAUGAAGAUGAUAAUGAGUGAACUCAUAUAAUAUAUUUUCUCGAUUGAAUAAAUUAAAUGUAGUUGAAGUUGAAAGAGACAAAGCGAGAAAAACUACUCAUUCACUUUUUCUGUGUAAUUUGACCAUUAUUACAAUAAAGCAUUUAAUGAUUUGCGUUUAAACGUUGAUACUUUAUUAAUAAAUCUUAUUUAAGUACA